rnacentral:rRNA from 1 species
UACAGGGGGGGCAAGCGUUGUUCGGAAUUACUGGGCGUAAAGGGCGCGUAGGCGGCCUUCUAAGUCGAACGUGAAAUCCCCGGGCUCAACCCGGGAACUGCGUCCGAUACUGGAAGGCUUGAAUCCGGGAGAGGGAUGCGGAAUUCCAGGUGUAGCGGUGAAAUGCGUAGAUAUCUGGAGGAACACCGGUGGCGAAGGCGGCAUCCUGGACCGGUAUUGACGCUGAGGCGCGAAAGCCAGGGGAGCAAACGGG